GACGAACGCUGGCGGCGUGCUUAACACAUGCAAGUCGAGCGGUAAGGCCCUUCGGGUACACGAGCGGCGAACGGGUGAGUAACACGUGGGUGACCUGCCCUUCGACUCUGGGAUAAGCCUGGGAAACUGGGUCUAAUACCGGAUAUGACCUGCUCUCGCAUGGGGGUUGGCGGAAAGUCAGUAUUGUAGUGAUGCUGGCGGU
rnacentral:rRNA from 1 species